AGAGUUUGAUCAUGGCUCAGGAUGAACGCUGGCGGCGUGCUUAACACAUGCAAGUCGAACGAUUGAAGCUGGAGCUUGCUCCGGCCGAUUUAGUGGCGGACGGGUGAGUAACGCGUGGGUAACCUGCCUCAUACAGGGGGAUAGCAGUUGGAAACGACUGGUAAAACCGCAUAAGCGCACGGUGUCGCAUGACACAGUGUGAAAACACUCCGGUGGUAUGAGAUGGACCCGCGUCUGAUUAGCUAGUUGGCGAGGUAACGGCCCACCAAACCUACGAUCAGUAGCCGGUCUGAGAGGAUGAACGGCCACACUGGAACUGAGACACGGUCCAGACUCCUACGGGAGGCAGCAGUGGGGAAUCUUCCGCAAUGGGCGAAAGCCUGACGGAGCAACGCCGCGUGAGUGAUGACGGCCUUCGGGUUGUAAAGCUCUGUGAUCGGGGACGAACGGUCCGUAAGUCAAUACCUUAUGGAAGUGACGGUACCCGAAUAGCAAGCCACGGCUAACUACGUGCCAGCAGCCGCGGUAAUACGUAGGUGGCAAGCGUUGUCCGGAAUUAUUGGGCGUAAAGCGCGCGCAGGCGGCUUUCUAAGUCCAUCUUAAAAGUGCGGGGCUUAACCCCGUAAUGGGAUGGAAACUGGAAAGCUGGAGUAUCGGAGAGGAAAGUGGAAUUCCUAGUGUAGCGGUGAAAUGCGUAGAGAUUAGGAAGAACACCGGUGGCGAAGGCGACUUUCUGGACGACAACUGACGCUGAGGCGCGAAAGCGUGGGGAACAAACAGGAUUAGAUACCCUGGUAGUCCACGCCGUAAACGAUGAAUGCUAGGUGUUGGGGAGCAAAGCUCUUCGGUGCCGCCGCAAACGCAUUAAGCAUUCCACCUGGGGAGUACGUUCGCAAGAAUGAAACUCAAAGGAAUUGACGGGGACCCGCACAAGCGGUGGAGCAUGUGGUUUAAUUCGAAGCAACGCGAAGAACCUUACCAGGUCUUGACAUCCCGAUGACCGGUUCGUAAUGGAACCUUCUCUUCGGAGCAUUGGAGACAGGUGGUGCAUGGUUGUCGUCAGCUCGUGUCGUGAGAUGUUGGGUUAAGUCCCGCAACGAGCGCAACCCUUAUCCUCAGUAGCCAGCAGGUAAGGCUGGGCACUCUGUGGAGACUGCCAGGGAUAACCUGGAGGAGGGUGGGGAUGACGUCAAAUCAUCAUGCCCCUUAUGAUCUGGGCUACACACGUGCUACAAUGGCGUAAACAAAGGGAGGCAAAGCCGCGAGGUGGAGCAAAUCCCAAAAAUAACGUCUCAGUUCGGACUGCAGUCUGCAACUCGACUGCACGAAGCUGGAAUCGCUAGUAAUCGCGAAUCAGAAUGUCGCGGUGAAUACGUUCCCGGGUCUUGUACACACCGCCCGUCACACCAUGGGAGUUGGUAACGCCCGAAGUCAGUGACCCAACCUUUCAGGAGGGAGCUGCCGAAGGCGGGACUGAUAACUGGGGUGAAGUCGUAACAAGGUA
rnacentral:rRNA from 1 species